GCAAAAGCUUUUUAGAUGCUGCUACUAGCUACUGCUACAUGACAUGAAGUUCUGCUGCUUCAAAAUAUAUCUUCCCAAUGCAUACUUUUGCUGCUUCAUGUUAUAAAUUUGUCUUUCCCCUUGAUAUGAUGCUUUCAUUAGGUAUGUUUUGUUCUACGUAAUCACUAUAUAUUUCUUUUAUAUGUUUAUUUUGGUGAUAUUUUUCUUUGACAAGUCAUUGAAUUCGUUGUGUUCUCUUUUUUUUGGUUGGUUUAGUAUUUUACAUAAAUGUGUGAAUCAAAAUCCUAAGAAAAAAAUUCGACAGAUCUGGAGAAAAUUAUAUUUGGAGAAAAGCGAUGUAAAUAUGGAGAAUCAAAUUGGAAGAAAAUCCUUUUGUUUGAUUUCUGUCAUUUGUAUUAAAUAUCCAUUCUACUUCUUUUUCAUAAAUCUCUUUUUUACUCUACCAUCAUAAGGAUUUUCUAAAGAAAUUUGUGUUUUAAACACAACACAUGAACAUUAGGUUUAUUUAAAUAAAUUUGUGUUAAGUAUACAUGUUGUUAAAAACCCCUCCCCUCCCCUUGUGAACCAAACAUACAUGUUGUUAAAAACCCCUCCCCUCCCCUCCCCUCCCCUUCUUUGAACCAAACAUAUAUUUAGUUAAAUUCUCUCCCCUCCAUUCCCCUCCCCUCCGUUGAACCAAACAGACCCUAAAGUUUUUUUAGCAUAUUUUAAAACAUUUAAUCUUACCAUAGUUUUUGAUACCGGCAUAGUUUGAAAUAUAUAGGUUUUUGCAACCUCAUUGAAACAAGUUUUUUUAUUAUAGGCUUUUGCAACCUCAUUGAAACAAUUUUUUUUACUAUAUUAUUUUUGGUAUGCUGAAAUGUAUUUAAUGCAUAGUGUUUGAUCCUCGAGAUGUACAUUAUCAUAAUCUUACCAUAUCUCCAUUCUCGGCUAUCUUUCAUCAUUGCUUUUGAUUUUUUUCAACCCACUUUCUUCAACAAACCAAAUCCAUUUUCUGAAACAAACAUAUCUAUGGAUAUAUCUUCUCUCAACAAUUUAAUUAAUUAAUAUUAUUAAUUAAAAUUUAUGCAAUUAAAAUAAAAUUUUAUUUCUUUUCUAAGUGAUUUUUGUUUUUGUUUUAAAAACUGAACAAAAUUUAAUUUUAAUAUUUUUUGUUACAUAUAUUUUUAUAAAUGUAAAAAAAUAAAUUAUUGAUAUAAAUAUUUUUUAUAAACGGGAAACAGUUUACUAUUGGUACAAUUAUUUUUAUAAAUGAUAAAAAGUGUAUUGUUGAUAUAAAUAUUUUUAUAAACUGAAAAUGUGUAUUAUUGAACAAAUAUUUAUUAACACGGGAAAAAGCGUAUUGUUGAUAUAAAUAUUUUUAUAAUCGAAAAAAAGUCUAUUGUUAAUAUAAAUAUUUUUUAAAUGAAAAACAGUAUAUUGUUGAUACGAAUACAAAUGAAAAUGUGUAUUGUUAAUACAAUAUUUUUAUAAACGGAAAAAAAUAUUUUUAUAAAUUGGAAAAAGUUAUUGUUGAUACAAAUAUUUUUGAUAUUGAAUAUCAAAAUAUUUCGUGAUAUAAUAUUUAAUGCUAUAUUCAUUUUUUUUUCACUUUUUUCUGACAUUGAAUACCAACUCUCUCUUAUGUCACCUCAAUAAAAAGGAAUAAUUUACUAAUCCAACUUUAUUAUGGAAAAAUGAAACCACUGAUCUAAACAUGUAGUCUGAACAUGUAGUGAGUUAAUAAAAUUUUAUUGUUUGUUUUCUUAUAUCGUAGAAAUUAUAUAAAACGGGAAAAAUGAAACAACUGAUCCAAAUAUUGAUAUCAUUUACAUUUCAUCUUCUAAAUAAAUAAACAAUAAAUAAAAAUUUUUGAUUUAACAAUUUAAUUUUUCUUUCAUUUCAUUUUUAUUAUAUAUUGAAAACAAAUGCGCGUACCAUACCAGUACCCGUGCGAAUGCACGGGUAUCCUGCUAGUUCAAGGAAAAAAAAGAAGAGCAGAAAUAUUGAUUAACUUUCAAAUGAAUUGUGAUUUGUCAUAUAAGCUUUGAUGCUUUCUCUUUAAAAUCUAGAAAAUCGAAUAAACAUAUAGUAAUUGAAAACCAACAAAAUGGAAUAGACAAACAAUCUUGUCUAUAAAUUAUACUAUCUUAUUAAUAUAAUUUCUAAACUAUUAAAAUAAACUAAAGAUACAAUAAACUUCAUCUUACUAUUUAGUCUUUCAAUUUUUUUUUCUUUAAAUUAAAGUGUCCAUUUGUAGUGUAUAAAUAUUUUUCUCUUGAUUAUGAUUAUGAAUAGAUAAAAUAUUAGAUAUCAAGAAAGAUGAUCCUUAUAUCUAAUAUAUCUAAUGUCAUAAGAUUUUGCCAGGAGAUUUAACCUCCUAUAUUAUUUACUUAUCAACAAGACACAACUCUCAAUAAAAUAGUUUAGGAUAAAAGAAAAACUACAGAGAAUGUGACCCUUUGUCUCAAGAUGCAAGAUGCAAUUUUUUUCAUUUCCAUGAGAAUUUUAGCUUUAAAUAAUUUGUUAAGUGAUACAUGAUACAUGAAUAAGGUUAGAUACAAAUAUUUCUUCCAGUGCUGCUAUCAAUGCAAUCCAAGCAACUCUUCCCCAAUUAGAUUCAAAAACUCACUCAAAGAGAAGCAAUCACCAACUCGCACCAAUCACAUCUUUUCAAGGGUGGGAAAGUUAGUUUAACUGAUAUCAUCAUCUCUUUGAUCUCUUUGAUGACACCUCAAAAUCAAAAGAUUGAACUUUUAACUUCGUAGCUGAGAUAAAUUCCUUAUACUGCUCUUCAAGUUUGAGAUCUCUCACGGAUUUUGGCUCUUGCAAAAAGUACUCCUGCCAAAAGACC